rnacentral:rRNA from 1 species
AUGUAAUGUAAUUCCUACAACGUUAAUGCAUUAGAUCCCAUUAUUGAUCCACAAUUAAGUGCACUUGGGAUAUAGUAGUACUGGGAUGGGUGACCUCCCAGGAAGUCCUAGUGUUUUACUUG